ensembl:lncRNA
GCAAAGGAUGGAGCUCCAGAAAGAGGUGGAUGCAUUGAAAGUCAGCUUUGAAAAGCAGCUAUCAGCAGCUGAGGAGCAAAGCCAGAAGAAGCAGCAGUAUGGGGUGAUUCAGGAGCUGCUGAGCGUGUCAAACCGCCUCAGAGAAGAACUGCACAACCUCAGAUGUCUGACACAGAUCAAAGCUGAGGAGAGAGGCCAGAAGCACCGUGAACUGCUGAGGGCUGAGCAACUGCACCAGCGGAUGCAGCAGGAGCUCAGAGAAAAAGACCUGAUCAUCAUGGACCACAACAAGCUCAACGCCAUGCUGCAGCGCAGGUGACACAGCUCUUUUUACAUAUGUAUCAUCUCAUUGCCCAAUGCAGAAACACAUUUAAAUGCAUAUUCUGCAUACAGCACAUUGCAUAAUUUAA